rnacentral:lncRNA from 1 species
AGAGAUUCCUACAAAGAGCAGGUGGAUUUGGGGGCUGUCCUCUGCUCCCUACACUGCUCCUGGCCACCGUCCCUCACCUUGGACCUGUCUCAUGGAUCUGUGUGCUUCCAUCCUCAGGCACACAGUGGCACUACAGAUCUGGAAGCCGGGCCAGAUCUCAGACUUUUAUUAGGUGUGGAGUCUGGGUUCAGAAAACCCUAAAAGUGUCUGUGUAGUCUUUUACUGUUCUUUCAGUUCAUGGUUUUAUAAUUUUUACUGUUCUUUCUUCAUUGCUAUUUGAGAAUAAGCCAUGUCUCCUUCUAUUUGUUCAAGUGCUGCCCCCAGUGGCCCCUGUGUGUACAAAGCCCAGGAAAAGUUCAACCUGGUUACUCUGCGGGCCUGCUUCCAACUGGGCCUAGCCUGUGCGUGAAGAUGGUUUCAUGACUAGAAAAAAAUAAAUCUGAACUCAGAGUCAUCUCUUGGGAAUUUGGCAACCCUACCUGACCAGGUGAUCAGGAAGUGGUGGGAAGGGCUGUUCAUCUGUACUGUACUCUUCAUCCAAAGACAGAACCAAGUUGUAACCCUGAGACAAAUGUGACAAGCUGGAGUGGAGAGGCACCGUAGCAAACAGCUGCCCAGGGCUCCUGAGGACAGUGGAGGUCGUGAAAGACAAGGAGACGCAGAAGCCGCAGGGCCAGAGACAGCAAGGAGAUUGACUCGACUCGUAAGCGCAGGAAUUGUGGGCUGGAUGCUGGAAGACAGCGCAAGAAAAGCCAAAGAGCCCCAGUACCGCGUGGAUCCGGUUCCCACAAUGUCACAAGGUCCACUUCUCACUUGUGACAAACACGACGGUGAUGCGUUAACAGUAAUUCUCUCUUAGCUAUGUGCCGAGUUCAGUAAAGCUCUACUCCAGGGAUCCAUGGCGGAUAGAAGACAGCGAUCGGUCUAAACCCGGAGCUCCAUUUUCAGUUCCCAGAACACCUGGAAGCAAGAACAAAAGCUGUCAUCACUUCUAAUAACAGAGCUAGAAACUGAAGAAAAACUAAUAGAAUAGGAGUGAUCCUGACCUUUAGGCUCAAAAGCAGAACAUGUACUAGCUGCACGAUUUCAAAUAAAUUGAGCAUCUGGAUCAAAUUUGCAUUUAAAACAUUUUUUACAUCUGGAGCUGGGGAUAUAGCUCAGUAGUAGAACUGAGCUUAGGGCGUGCUGGGCCUGGGGUGCAGUCCCUGGCUUCCCUCCUUUGCACAGAUAUCAUGCACCUGCCACUGCUCCUCCAAGCUUCUGCCUCCAUCUUCUGGGGCAUUGCGUCCUGCUGUCCAGACCCUAUGCCUUCGCGCAGAGGCCUCUGGAUCUGCUCACCUGCUGCCCCAUGAACGAGCCACGUUAUAAUGUUUGAGCCUUCUCAAUAAAACUCAUCCUGUCUUAUGGGUGAGGAAUAAUCCUCUAACUUUCACUGUGGAUACACACAGACACACACACACACACACACACACACACACACACACCAUUCGACCCAACUAGCUCCCCUCUAGGUGUCUUCCUGAAAGUUAAAGACACCGUGUCACAGUGACCCCCACACACCCAUGUUUACAGCACACAGCUCAUUAACACCUAAAUCUCAGAAGCAGCUUAUGUGGCCAUCAACAGAUGAAUAGAUAAA